rnacentral:rRNA from 1 species
GAUGAACGCUGGCGGCGUGCCUAACACAUGCGAGUCGAACGGAAAGGCCUCUUUCGGGGGGUACUCGAGUGGCGAACGGGUGAGUAACACGUGAGUAACUUGCCCUUGACUUUGGGUUAACUUCAGGAAACUGGGGCUAAUACCGGAUAGGGGCUCCUGCUGCAUGGUGGGGGCUGGAAAGUUUCGGCGGUUGGGGAUGGGUUCGCGGCUUAUCCGCUUGUUGGUGGGGUAGUGGCUUACCAAGGCGUUGACGGGUAGCCGGCCAGAGGGGGUGAGCGGCGGCAUAGGGCCUGAGAGGCGGCAGAGGCGGGGACGGGUGGCAGAAGGGGGGAAUAUUGCACAAGGGAUGGAGGCCGGGUGCAGAAGGGCCGUGGGCGGUAAGACGGUCUUCGGGUGGUAGACCGGUUUCGCUCAUAACGAAGCUUUGUGUGACGGUAGUGGGUAAAGAAGCACCGGCUAACUACGUG